GGAUGUAAGGGCCAUCUGGCUGCGACAUCUGUCUUCCCAUUGAUCACCAGGGUCGAUGCAGCUGAUCUGGUUGGCUAGGUGGGUGUCCCCUUCCUCCCUCACUGCUCCAUGUGUAUCCCUUCUGAAGCUGUGUGCUUUGUCGAGGACAACCUUCCCUGAUGGAGGAGGCCCAUUCAUUCACGGACAAGUGUAUACAUGUAGCCGCGCUCCCUUUCUAGAACUUCCAAACAAGCUCUCAGUUCCACGCAAAAAAAAAAAAAAAAAAAAAAAAAAAAAAAAAAAAAAAAAAAGAGAGAGAGAGAGAGAGAGACUGU
rnacentral:snRNA from 1 species